UACCUGCAGCUCGAGUGGUGAUCGUUAUUAUUGGGCCUAAAACGUCCGUAGCCGGUCUUGUAAAUGCCUGGGUAAAUCGUAUGGCUUAACCAUACGAAUUCCGGGUAGACUGUUAGACUUGAGACCGGGAGAAGCUAGAGGUACUCCUGGGGUAGAGGUGAAAUUCUGUAAUCCUAGGGGGACCACCAGUGGCGAAGGCGUCUAGCUAGAACGGGUCUGACGGUGAGGGACGAAGCCCUGGGGCGCAAACGGGAUUAGAUACCCCGGUAGUCCAGGGUGUAAACGCUGCUUGCUUGAUGUUAGUCUGGCUCCGAGCCAGAUUAGUGUCGGAGAGAAGUUGUUAAGCAAGCUGCCUGGGAAGUACGGCCGCAAGACUAAAACUUAAAGGAAUUGGCGGGGGAGCACAGCAACGGGUGGAGCGUGCGGUUU
rnacentral:rRNA from 1 species